AUUUACCACAAUGUACUCCCCCCGAUUCAAUAGUUAAAUACAGUACAAAAGUACAAAACUCCCAUAAUUCUUAUCAUUUACCCUCUGUCAGAAAGUUUACAGGCCACUUGCUACAGGCAGUGCCUCCCCCUUUAACCUUCCUCCCCAGUCAGUUUUAUAAAGGGAGCCAGUUUCAUCUCCAGCAGGACCUCCAAACCCAUUCCAAGUGGUGCCAGAACUUCUUUAAAGAAGUGCCAAGUGUGAAUCCCAUCCUCACUGCCUAUCCUUCCAUGUUCUGGAGUUCAUUUCUCUGUCAUAAAGAAUCUUGGAGACAGAAUAUCUAGUUUAAAUUUCCAUCUCAGUCUUUUACUGUCAAAACCUAAGAAAGUUACUACAUCCCUCUGAAUUUCAGUUUUCAAAUCUAUAAAAUGGGGCUAAUAAUACCUACACUCCUCACCUCUUGGAGCGACUGCAAAGUGACAGAACUGUUAUUAUUCCCUGCCAUAAUUCAAAGAUUUACAAGGGAGCAUUUAGUCCUCUCAGCAAUCUCUCAGAAUCAAAAUCUCUUCAUGCUAAUGCUGCUAUAAUGCUCUUUGUGAAAACCUUCCCCACCUCUGCUAAGAUUCCAGAGUUUUAACUACAUCAUUAAAACCAUCAUAAUGAACAAGCUUUUUCACCUUCUAUAAUACAGAUAGACAUGUGGCUCAUUCCAUUCUAAGCUCCCCGACAGGUGGGACUGUUUUUUGCCUUUCUUCCUAUCCAUAGCACUUAGCUCAGUGGCUGGCACAUAGUAGACACUUAAUAAGUAUUUGUGGAUUAAUUGAUUGUGACCCAAAAGAUUGUAUAUGGGUGGUAUGCUCAGGCACCUCUGGAAAUCUGGAAGAUCUUGGCAUGGGGCAAUAUGUCUAAAAGGAUGCAUUAUUGACAACUUCUCUAGUUCAAAGGUUUGGCAUUCGCUCAAAGAAAUGGGAAGGAAGUGUUUUGCAGCAGGAAGAGCAAUGGAUUUGGGUGAAAAGACCUGGGUGCAAGAUUCUGUUCACCGCUUGCUUGGAGCAAGUUUUAUGACCAUGGGAAAAGCUUCUGUGUGGAACAUGGUCUUUAAGGCAAAUGCUGCCAUCUAGAGAGAAACAGAUGGUGGAGAGCUCACCAAGUGAGGUCAUUUCUCAAAACUUCUCAAAGAAGAUGGGUUCCCGUCCUAACACGGAGUCAGCGUUUCAGUGACAAGCCUUCAAAGCUCUCCAUAUCUUAAAUGUACUUGAAUGGACAGUUCAUUUGAGCAAUGACUCAGCAGAACUGAGCUUAUUCUCUUGGAGAAGAAUAUUUUCGGGUGACUUUUAUAGAGAAAACUCAGAUUAUACAGUCUAUGGAUUGAUUUUUAUUUGUGUAAAGGGACACUGAGAACAAAGUUUUUUUUAUUUAUUCUAAUCUAUUUAAAUAGAAAGAAAUAUAUCACAAGGAUUCUAGGAUUAACUUCUGCCUCUUGUUCAUUUGCCUCUCUUUCCUGGUACAGUACAAAGAGUUUUUACUUUUUAAGUGAUUUAAAAAAAAAACACGGAUUGCAAAAUUCAAAUCGAGGGAUAAACACAAAGGUACAACUGAAAAUGCCUACUAUGUAGACCAGAUUUUUAAAGCUAACACUAUGGAAAAAAAGAGAAAGAAUAUCUAAAUGAAGUCAGGUCUCAGUUGCAGGCUGUUCUCAAGUGACCCUUGUUUAAGAAGACAACUACUUGAGUUAUUAGAAAAGAUUGAGCCAGGAGAUGCUUAAACAUUUUAAGAAAUGCCCUAUACCCAUGUUGAUGAACCCAUGGCAUGUGUGCUGGAGGGGGCUGCUCCCCUCCCUCUCUCCAAAUGCACCUGAGGACAUUUCUCCCAUCACCUGCCCCUCUGCCUAGCAGUCCAAUGGAAGUGCUUCCUUCCUCCCCUUUCUGGGAUAAUGCUAGGUAGGGGCUUACAUGCAGCAUGAGAAUGCAGUUUGGGCACUCAGUCUCUAAAAAGAUUCACCAUCACUGCCCUAUACCAUUCUGAAAGUCAAACAGUACCAAUUAAAGCCAUAGUUAGAGCCUGCCAGAUUUACUCCUUGGUAUUUUGCCCCCCCCCCCCCCAUAGAAAACUGUCAAGUUU
rnacentral:lncRNA from 1 species